rnacentral:rRNA from 1 species
UCAGUAUCGAAGCUAACGCGCUAAGUUCGCCGCCUGGGGAGUACGUUCGCAAGACUGAAACUCAAAGGAAUGACGGGGGGCCCGCACAAGCGNUGGAGUAUGUGGUUAAUUCGAUGCAACGCGAAGAACCUUACCUGGCCUUGACAUGCACGGAACUUUCCAGAGAUGGAUUGGUGCCUUCGGGAACCGUGACACAGGUGCUGCAUGGCUGUCGUCAGCUCGUGUCGUGAGAUGUUGGGUUAAGUCCCGCAACGAGCGCAACCCUUGUCCUUAGUUGCCAUCAUUUAGUUGGGUACUCUAAAGGAACCGCCGGUGAUAAGCCGGAGGAAGGUGGGGAUGACGUCAAGUCCUCAUGGCCCUUACGGCCAGGGCUACACACGUGCUACAAUGGUCGGUACAGAGGGUUGCCAAGCCGCGAGGUGGAGCUAAUCCCAUAAAACCGAUCGUAGUCCGGAUCGCAGUCUGCAACUCGACUGCGUGAAGUCGGAAUCGCUAGUAAUCGUGAAUCAGAAUGUCACGGUGAAUACGUUCCCGGGCCUUGUACACACCGCCCGUCACACCAUGGGAGUGGGUUGCUCCAGAAGUAGCUAGUCUAACCGCAAGGGGGACGGUUACCACGGAGUGAUUCAUGACUGGGGUGAAGUCGUAACAAGGUAGCCGUAGGGGAACCUGCGGCUGGAUCACCUCCUUGAGCUUGGAUCCCGGGC